rnacentral:tRNA from 1 species
GCCCCCGUGGUGAAAUGGAUAUCACGGCAGCCUCCGGAGCUGCAGGUCCAAGUUCGAUUCUUGGCGGGGGCA